CUAAUACGUACGCGAGUCUGGGGCUCGCAUGAAAGCUGCCGUGGCGCAAUGAAGGUGAAGGCCGGUCAGGGCCAAGGUGGGAUCCCGAGGCCUCUCCAGUCCGCCGAGGGUGCACCACCCGCCCUUCUUGCACGCCUUGCUGGGAGGUAGAGCAUGAGCGCAUGUGUUAGGACCCAAAAGAUGGUAAACUAUGCCUGGGCAGGGCGAAGCCACAGGAAACUCUGGUGGUGGUCCCUAGCGGUCCUGAUGUGCAAAUCCGUCGUCUGACCUGGGUAUAGGGGUGAAAGACUAAUCGAACCAUCUAGUAGCUGG
rnacentral:ncRNA from 1 species